CUGAGCCACACUUGGGAAAUUUAAAUGAGAAGCACAGUGCUACGUGAUCUGGCAACAGAGCAAACAAAUGCUGUUCUGGGGAGCGUGUGAAAGACAUAUGAAGUCCGGAAGUUGCAGGCAGAGUUUCACCUCUGGGAAGCUGAAUGUAAACAUGGUGGAAUUUGGUGUGGAACAGGACCUGGUGAAGACCCCCUAAUCCUCACCUCCUUUUAAAGAUUUUGAGCCAAGUAGGUCUUGGUGUCAGAAUCAGCAUCAGGCACACAUCUACAUGAGGCUAUGCCUCAAGAAGGUGACAGCUAUCAUCAAGGAUCCAAACCAUCCGGGCCAAGCCCUCUUCUCAUUGCUACCAUCAGGCAGGAGGUACAGAAGCCUGAAGUCUCACACCACCAGGUUCAGGAACAGCUACUUUCCUACAACCAUCACGUCUUGAACUGACCUGCACAACCCUCAGC